ensembl:miRNA
UUAAAAUGUGCAUUUCUUGGACUUACCCCAGAUCUAAUCUGUUGAACUAAAAUCUCAGAGGCUGGAGUCCAGGAAUCUGCAUUUUUAA